UCGACCCAGCGGGCUCCGGCCCUUGCUGCACCCUUGUCUUUUGCGUACCGUAUCGUUUCCUCGGCGGGCUUGCCUGCCGGUUGGACAACAUCAAACCUUUUUGUAGUUGCAAUCAGCGUCAGAAAAAUCAUAAUUAUUA
rnacentral:misc_RNA from 1 species